UACGUAGGGACCAAGCGUUGUUCGGAUUUACUGGGCGUAAAGGGCGCGUAGGCGGCGUGGUAAGUCACUUGUGAAAUCUCUGAGCUUAACUCAGAACGGCCAAGUGAUACUGCUGUGCUAGAGUGCAGAAGGGGCAAUCGGAAUUCUUGGUGUAGCGGUGAAAUGCGCAGAUAUCAGGAGGAACACCGAUGGCGAAGGCAGGUCUCUGGGCCACUACUGACGCUGAGAAGCGAAAGCAUGGGGAGCGAACAGG
rnacentral:rRNA from 1 species